AGCGUCAUUUCAACCAUCAAGCUCUGCUUGCGUUGGGGAUCCGCGUCUGACGCGGUCCCUCAAAAACAGUUGGCGGGCUCGCUAGUCACACCGAGCGUAGUAACUCUACAUCGCUAUGGUCGUGCGGCGGGUUCUUGCCGUAAAACCCCCCAUUUUUUAAGGUUGACCUCGGAUCAGGUAGGAAUACCCGCUGAACUUAA
rnacentral:misc_RNA from 1 species